rnacentral:rRNA from 1 species
AGAGUUUGAUUAUGGCUCAGAAUGAACGCUGGCGGCGCGCCUAACACAUGCAAGUCGAGCGAGGCCACGGCUUCGGCCGUGAGUCGAGCGGCGAACGGGUGAGUAACGCGUGGGUAACGUACCCGGGAGUGGGGGAUAGCUCCGGGAAACUGGAGGUAAUACCGCAUACGCUCACUUCACCGCAUGGUGGAGUGAGGAAAGGUUGGGACCCUUCGGGGCCAGCCGCUCCCGGAUCGGCCUGCGUCCGAUUAGCUAGUUGGUAGGGUAACGGCCUACCAAGGCUACGAUCGGUAGCCGGCCUGAGAGGGUGACCGGCCACAUUGGGACUGAGACACGGCCCAGACUCCUACGGGAGGCAGCAGUGGGGAAUCUUGGGCAAUGGGCGAAAGCCUGACCCAGCGACGCCGCGUGGGGGAUGAAGGCCUUCGGGUUGUAAACCCCUGUCAGGGGGGACGAAAGCCUCUCGGUGAAUAGCCGGGGGGGUCUGACGGUACCCCCAAAGGAAGCCCCGGCU